GGGGGCGACCUGGUUUCGACGUGGAUUACAAAGCCAUCGGAGCAUGUCGAGGUGCAGAUCUCCUCGUAAAUCCAACUGCAAACUAUUAGUUGCCAACGACGACAACUACGCCCUGGCGGCUUAAGCCCUGCCAGUCUCUCCCCCGGCUCGCCCAUGGGCUGGGAUAAGAGGGAUCAAAUCACAUGGGCUCGCGUGAUGGGGUGCCCGUGA
rnacentral:tmRNA from 1 species